rnacentral:misc_RNA from 1 species
GAUGAAGAACGUAGCGAAAUGCGAUAAGUAAUGUGAAUUGCAGAAUUCAGUGAAUCAUCGAAUCUUUGAACGCACAUUGCGCCCGCCAGUAUUCUGGCGGGCAUGCCUGUUCGAGCGUCAUUUCAACCCUCAGGCCCCCAGUGCCUGGUGUUGGGGAUCGGCCCAGCCUUCCUGUAAGGCCGCCGGCCCCGAAAUCUAGUGGCGGUCUCGCUGCAGCCUCCCCUGCGUAGUAGCAACACUCGCAUGCGGAGCGCGGCGCGGCCACGCCGUAAAACCCCCGACUUUCUGAACGUUGACCUCGGAUCAGGUAGGAAUACCCGCUGAACUUAAGCAUAUCAAUAAGCGGAGGA